AUUGAACGCUGGCGGCAUGCCUAACACAUGCAAGUCGAGCGGAUGAACCGAGCUUGCUUCUUGAUUCAGCGGCGGACGCGUGUGUAAUGCCUCUGAAUCUUCCUCGUUGUGCUGGCUCACGUCCCUAAACGGGUGCUACUACUGCCUACGUCCUGCGGGAGUUGGUGGGUGAUCUUCGUACCUCACGCUCUCCGAUGUGCCUAGGUGGGCUUAGCGAGUUGGUGGGGUAAAGGCCUCCCACGGCGCCGAGCCGUAACUGGUCUGAGAGGAUGAUCAGUCACACUGGAACUGAGACACGGGCCAGACGGCUAAGGGAGGCAGCAGUGGGGAAUAGAGGACAAAGGGGGGAAGACUGAUCCAGCCAUGCCGCGUGGGUGAAGAAGGUCGUCGGAGUGGAAAGCACUGUAAGGGGGGAGGAAGGGCAGUAAGUUAAAACCUGGCUGUUGUGACGGUACCAACAGAAGAAGCACCGGCUAACUUCGUG
rnacentral:rRNA from 1 species